rnacentral:rRNA from 1 species
UGGGGGAUAACGUUCGGAAACGAACGCUAAUACCGCAUACGUCCUACGGGAGAAAGCAGGGGACCUUCGGGCCUUGCGCUAUCAGAUGAGCCUAGGUCGGAUUAGCUAGUUGGUGGGGUAAUGGCUCACCAAGGCGACGAUCCGUAACUGGUCUGAGAGGAUGAUCAGUCACACUGGAACUGAGACACGGUCCAGACUCCUACGGGAGGCAGCAGUGGGGAAUAUUGGACAAUGGGCGAAAGCCUGAUCCAGCCAUGCCGCGUGUGUGAAGAAGGUCUUCGGAUUGUAAAGCACUUUAAGUUGGGAGGAAGGGCCAUUACCUAAUACGUGAUGGUUUUGACGUUACCGACAGAAUAAGCACCGGCUAACUCUGUGCCAGCAGCCGCGGUAAUACAGAGGGUGCAAGCGUUAAUCGGAAUUACUGGGCGUAAAGCGCGCGUAGGUGGUUUGUUAAGUUGGAUGUGAAAUCCCCGGGCUCAACCUGGGAACUGCAUUCAAAACUGACUGACUAGAGUAUGGUAGAGGGUGGUGGAAUUUCCUGUGUAGC